AUUUCUAGGGCCAUUCCUGUGGCAUAUGGAGGUUCUCAGGCUAGGGCUCUAAUCGGAGCUGUAGCUGCUGGCCUACACAAGAGUCACAGCAAUGCAGGAUCUGAGCCACGUCUGUGACCUACACCACAGCUCAUGGCAAUGCCAGAUCCUUAAACCACUAAGCAAGGCCAGGGAUUGAACCCACAACCUCAAUGUUCCUAGUCAGAUUCGUUAACCACUGUGCCAUGACAGGAACUCCUGUUGGAAGAUUUUUAAUCACAGUUUCAAUUUCAGUGCUUGUGAUUGGUCUGUUCAUCUUUUCUAUUUCAUCUUGGUUUGGUCUUGUAAGAUUGUACCUUUCUAAGAAUUUGUCCAUUUCUUCUAGGUUUUCCAUUUAAUUGGUGUAUAGUUGCAUAGUCUCUUAUCAUCUUUUGUAUUUCUGUGAUGUCUGUUGUUACUUCUCCUUUUUCAUUUCUAAUUUUAUUGAUUUGUCUUCUUUUUUUCUUGAUAAGUCUGGCUAAGUGUUUAUCAAUUUUACUGAUCUUUUCAAAGAACGAGCUUUUCAUUUCAUUGAUCUUUUCUAUGGUUUUCUUCAUUUCUAUUUCAUUGAUUUCUACUCUGAUCUUUAUGAUUUCUUUCCUUCUACUAACAUUAGGUCUUGUCUGUUCUUCUCUCUCUAGCUGCUUUAGAUGUAGAGUUAGCUUGUUUUUUUUGAGCUUUUUCUUGUUUCCUGAGGUGGGCUUCUAUUGCUAUAAACUUUCCUCUUAGAAAGGCUUUUGCUGCAUCACAUGGGUUUUGGAGUGUCAAUUCCCAUGGCUCAGCAGUAAUGAACCUAACUAAUAUCCAUGAAGACCUAGAUCUGAUCCAUGGGCUUGUUCAGUGGGUCCAGGAUCUGGUGUUGCCAUAAGCUGUGGUGUAGUUUGAAGACUUGGCUCAGACCUGGUGUUGCUGUGGCUGUAGCAUAGGCCUGUAGCUGCAGCUCCAGUUCGACUCCUAGCCUGGGAACUUCCAUAUGCCAUGGGUGCAGCCGUAAAAAGUUAAAAUAAUACAAAAUUAAUUAAUUAAUUAAUUAAUUAAUUUAGUUAAAGAUAUAAGCACAAGUUAGCAAAUAUGGAUGGUCUAGCACAAUGACCAACCCAACCCCCAUGAAUUCUUCAACUGUUUUGUCCACUUGAAAACAUUCCGACUUUUUGUUUCAAUGGAGCUGAAUUCAGUCUUCCUCUCUCUCUCUCCUAUUGUCAUAAUCUUGAAGGACGUCCCCUUUCUGUUGAACUCUGUAAGUGUAAUUUCCCUUUUGACCAGCUAAGAGAAUCUAGAGGCCAUGAAGAUCCAGAAAAGGACUAGAGGUAGAAGAUGAUGCCUGAGAAACUACUGGAAGCAAAAUGCCUGCUGACUGCACAUGCAUAAGAUGCCGAUACUUAAACUUGUUCAGUCUAAGGUUCCAUCCUUUCCUAAGUCAUUUUUUGUAAUAACAAACUUCGAAGUUCCUCAUCAGGGCACACGUCAAUUCCUUUGGGAAAUAGACAAGCUCAUUUUAAAUCUCCAUCUGAUUUGUUUUCAAGUCACCAUGGAGGCCAGAUAUUUUAAGCCAUUUUGUGAGUAAACCUACACCACACAUCACCAGGGGAGUGAACAAUUGGCACAGUCACACCAGCAGCACAGAUUAAGAAUGAAAAAGGAGGUGUAAAAAUUAUAGCUAGAGAGCAGCAUAAACAAUUUUUUUAAAUGUCAGAAAUCCCAGUGAAAAUAAUCAAGUGAAAGGAAAGGGAAGGGUAUAGAUAUAAAAGGGAUAAGAGGAAAGGUUAAAAUCUUACAUCUCCCUCCAAAUUAUCCCUUCACAGACAAAAAAGAACAUGCCAGAGAAGGAGUGGCUUGCUCGAUCUUUCCUAGAAAUAAAUGAGUACCUUCCUUGAAGGAUUUUACAGAUCCACAGCACAGAGAUGUAUUGCACAUAGCAGAGGAUAAAAGAAACACAGGAGAGGAAGGAGAAAUGGUGGUCACACAUCCCAGGCAGUUAGGGACAAGACCAGCAUUAGGAGUCAAGGCUCCUAGUCCACCCUUCGAUACCUCACUGUGUGAUCCACAGCCCCUUUAUGCUAAUAGAGCUAAUUACCCAGCGUGAUAAUGACAUUCCUCCUCCCUAAGUUUCAAUUACACGAAAUGUCUUUCCUCCAAGUCAAGUUCUUACUGAUCAUAAAUAAAGCUCUCGCUGGUGAUAAAUAAAAUUCUUAAUAAUCUAGACCUGAAGGGAGAGGCAAUCUUGUCCCCUGGCGACUUAAGAGCUCUGGAGAGUCUGUUGGAUUUUACUGCUCUCCAACAUGAGGCUGUGUCUGUACACAGCCAGGACUAUCCUUCCCACUUGGGGACCUGUCCCUGGGGUGCUUUCAGAAUAAAUCUACACCUCUAUAGGUUUAUGAUUUAUUGUCAUAAUUUAAUAAUGAAUCAAGAGUUCCCAUUGUGGCUUAGCAGUAAUGAAUCCAACUAUUAUCCAUGAGAAUGUGGGUUCAAUCCCUGGCCUCACUCAGUGGGUUAAGGAUCCCGCAUUGCCAUGAGCUGUGGUGUAGGUCACAGUUGAGGCUCAGAUCUGGCAUUGCUAUGGCUGUGGUGUAGGCCAGCAGCUGCAGCUCCAAUUCAACCCCUAGCCUGGGAAGUUCCAUAUGCCUCAGGUGCGGCCCUAAAAAGACAAGACCAAAAAAAAUGCAUCUAAUGCUUGCAGACCCUUGAGAAACUAAAAACACAAUUCAAGAGGAAAAGAAGAAAAUUACCCCCAAAGAUGACAUGGAAUAGCAGGCAAGGGAGAAAUGCCAACAGACUAAAGAAAGUCCUACAAAGUAAAGAUUUUAAAAGGGGGAUUUUAGCUUGAAGGAAUCUACGAAACCCAUCCAGCACUUGGGGAGAGAAUUUCCACAGGACACCUGAUUUCUUUGGUUCCACUGCCACCAACCAGGACCCAGGGCUCCUCGGACCACAGCUGUCACUCUGGAGAAGGGAGCUGAGUUGUACAAUUUCCACAAUAACCUUCGCUUCCAGCAUCAGAACUCAUCCUGUUCAGUUCAUCUUCUGCAAGUCACUUACCUCUCCUCUCUAUCAAGUUACUAGCUCUUCUUCAGUGCCUUUUUUACAAUGGAGUUAAAAGCCCAGCUGCAUUGUUAGGGGUUCUAAACACGUUAUUGGUAAAAUAAAAUCACUUCCUGUCAUACACAACGAGCUCACUGCAAUGAGCCUUAUUAGACAGCUACCAGCCAAAGCUCCCUUUAACACUGAGUUAACAUCCCCCAGUAGACUGUGCAAGUUUGUCUGUGUGUCUGUGUGUGUAUCCAUGUGCAUGACAAUGCUGAGGGAGGAGAAUUCCAGCCGAAAAUCUCAUUAACUAGAAUACACUUGCUUGUCUGAAUUAAAUGAGCCUGAAUUCCAGAGUUUCCACAAAUCCCUCCUUUUUGCUUUUAUCUCCUUGUGGGUCUCAAGGGGGAAAGAAUGAGAAGAGAGGUCACAGGUCAGAUGCAAGCAUGCCCACCUCCCCCCAUACACCCCAUCAUCUUGGAUGACUUGGUCCACCCUUCUUGUCCUCAGUUUCCUGCUCCAGGAGGUGGGGUGAUAACAGCCAGACCCAGGACUCAGGGAUGCUGUGAAUGUUCAGAGACACUGCCUUGCACCAAUGCAGGCUCUUAUUAUAUAAUUUAGAUGUUUUCUACACCCAUCAAGACUCAUUUCAGAGUGCCGUUGGCAGCUCCGCAGUGAAGCCAUGUGCAGCUUUAGUAGGAUAAUUGGGCAGGGAGCCACCCGGCUUCCUGGAUUAGUCAGUUUUUGUUUAUGAAGAAGUUCCUGAUGUUUAGAUUUUUUUUUCCUUACUUGCUAAUUGGCCUUAAAUGCUCGUAAAGAAAAAGCUGCUACUGACGUAAAUUAAAAUUGCUUUCAUUUCAUUUCUUAUGAAGUCUUGUUUAUUCUAAGACAGGAUUUAUUUUUUGUUCCACCUUUAAAUUUUUUUUAUUAUAUUAGGUGGUAGCAGUAUAAAGAAAAACAUGGUUCAGUGCUGAAGCUCUUUGGGAGCUUCAAAUCCUGUAACAGUGUGUGUGUUAUGUUUCCAUGGGUAUAUUGCAUGUGCACAUUUGUGCAUGUACGUGUGUAUGUAUGUGGAAGGAUAUGACAACAUUUUGUAGGCAUUAAGGCCUUUUUAAACAGCCAUAAAGGGAAGAUUUGGGAUUUAUUAAGAAUUUCACCCACAUAUGCCUACUUUGCAGUUUGGGGUCCCAAGUUAGGCCUUACAUAAGACUAUUUCCUCCAGGUACAUCAAUAUUGGGCUUAACUGGCCUCUGCCAUUUAUGUCCUCCUUUGAGGUUGGAAAUAUACAGUCUCUCUAAGGCUUGGUUGCAUGUCUCUGUGAAUGGGGACAGAAACGAUCGCCCACAGGUAUAGAGAUGAGAUCACAGUCUCCGCAGAAUGAAUGGCUUUUGUGGGCAGGUUCCCGGUAACCUCUUCACUGAGGGUGGAGCCAUGUCACUGGGUGGGAACCACAUAAUUGGAGGUGGGACCGUGUCACUUGGGCAGGGCCACAUCACUGGGGGUUGGGCCAAUCAUCGGGGUGGGAGUAUGUCACUGGGGAGGGGCCAUGCCCCCAGGGUAGAGACACAUCAUUGGAGGUGGAGCCACAUAACCACAUAACGGGGUGGGGGCUCGUCGCUGGGGUACAGCCACAUCGCUGGGGGUGGAGCCACACCUCCAGGGUAGAGUCACAGCACUGACUGUGGAGCCGUGGCCCCAGGCCCUGUGGUGAGUGACACCUCUGUGCCAAGCAGUCCUGGGAGAGUGAUGGAAACCAGAGGAGCCUCUCACACCUUCCCACUAGGCUUCAGGGGCCCCCAGGAAGGGCAGAGACGAGAGAUUCCACAUGCAAGUCUGUGCAGCUCGUCUCUGCAUCAUCUUGGCACCAAACUGCCCACGUUCAGUGGGUAGCACUUCUCAGUGUACAGACUCCACGGGAAGUGCAGAGAUGGCUCAUCCCCUCUCUACUGUGCAUGCGUGCGUGCGCACACACACACACACACACACACACACACACCAGUCCUGCUUCAGAGCUUCCAAACCCAAGCCUACCAGCACAGAAACCCUCUUUCUUACUCUUACUUAGGACCAGAGAAUUGGGGACAAAAGUUUUGACAUUAUGAGAACAUUAACUGAAAAGCAAUUAUCCAAAUCAGUGGCUGUGGAGAAAGGCAUAGAGAAUUAAUUAGAAUCUCCUCUUCAAGUUACAGUGAGAGAGAGAGACAAUGAAAGAGAGAAGGAGCAACCAAGGUGCUGCAGAGCCUGGGCUCUGGGUCAAGGUCAGGGGCCUGUCUCUAACCCCAUGCCCACAAUCACCCUCUCAUUCACCCCAGAGUGGGAUGAAAAUGGCUGGGAAGAAAAAUAAGAUGAUACACAUAAUUCCUAGAACAUAGAGGGUGGGUACCAAGCACUCAAG
rnacentral:lncRNA from 1 species